rnacentral:ncRNA from 2 species
ACAUAGACCCCGGGGUGCACUGAAACUGGUGCUGAGAGUGCGGAGAUGCCGCAGACCCGAUUCAACCUGAUCCAGAUCAUGCUGGCGUAGGGAGAGGUCCGAAGUUCUCGA